UGACACUGCCUGGUGAAAUUCUUCAUAAU
rnacentral:piRNA from 1 species